AUACGUAGGGGGCGAGCGUUGUCCGGAUUUACUGGGCGUAAAGGGUGAGUAGGCGGUUAUAUGGGUCAGAUGUAAAAGGGUAUGGCUUAACCAUAGUUAGCAUUUGAAACUGUAUGACUUGAGUGCAGGAGAGGUAAGUGGAAUUUCUAGUGUAGCGGGGAAAUGCGUAGAUAUUAGGAGGAACACCAGUGGCGAAGGCGACUUACUGGACUGUAACUGACGCUGAGUCACGAAAGCGUGGGUAGCAAACAGGAUUAGAUACCCUGGUAGUCCACGCUGUAAACGAUGAGUGCUAGGUGUUGGCCAGCGAUGGUCAGUGCCGCAGUAAACACAUUAAGCACUCCGCCUGGGGAGUACGGUCGCAAGACUGAAACUCAAAUGAAUUGACGGGG
rnacentral:rRNA from 1 species